GGUAUGUGGUGUACUGUAUAUAAGUGACCGAGGGAGACACCAUCAUCAAACACUUCUCUAUCUUCAUUCAGUUCUUACUGUGUUCAAAACAGACUGAAUUCAAAAUGAAAUUAACGAUCUUCUUUACGCUUCUUGCCAUGCUAGUAACAGUGAGUUUUGCCCAUCGUCAUCGUCACAGCCAUCGCCACUCCACUUCCGUCAAACACAUUCAUCACUACGAGUCGGGAUCAUCUGGAUCUUCAGGAUCUUCAUCCUCCGGAUCAUCAGGAUGUUGUUGCGGAGGAAGUUCCGGAUCUUCUGAAUCCUCAGAUGAAGAUUACCCCAUCCCAAUCCCAAUCCCAAUCUCCAGCGGUGGCGGCAGCAGCGGUAGCAGCGGUUCCUCCGACGCCGCCCUCCUACAGUCUCUCAUCAACGCUGGCAAAUAAGUGAUGAGAUGGGAUAUCCAUACCCACGAACUUGUACAAGGUGUUCACAUUUAUUUGUUAUCAUCUUAACCUUGUAUCUUUAUUUGUUGACUUUGUUUUGUUAAAAGAUACCAAUAAAGUUCUGUGAUCGUUAA